rnacentral:rRNA from 1 species
UAGGGAAUCUUCGGCAAUGGGGGCAACCCUGACCGAGCAACGCCGCGUGAGUGAAGAAGGUUUUCGGAUCGUAAAGCUCUGUUGUAAGAGAAGAACGUGUGUGAGAGUGGAAAGUUCACACAGUGACGGUAACUUACCAGAAAGGGACGGCUAACUACGUGCCAGCAGCCGCGGUAAUACGUAGGUCCCGAGCGUUGUCCGGAUUUAUUGGGCGUAAAGCGAGCGCAGGCGGGUUAAUAAGUCUGAAGUUAAAGGCAGUGGCUUAACCAUUGUUCGCUUUGGAAACUGUUAAACUUGAGUGCAGAAGGGGAGAGUGGAAUUCCAUGUGUAGCGGUGAAAUGCGUAGAUAUAUGGAGGAACACCGGUGGCGAAAGCGGCUCUCUGGUCUGUAACUGACGCUGAGGCUCGAAAGCGUGGGGAGCAAACAGG